AUACCAUGAUGGUUGCAUAGUUCAGCAGAAGACCCGUGAAGAGAUUUCAUCACAUGUCUGAUGUAUCU